GGGAAGUGAUAUCCAUGUUAUCGUACCUCCCGUGUAUAGGCAGAGUUUUGAUUCGCUCUUUGUUGUUAAUGAUACUUACACUAUUGCAAACUUCCAAGUUCAGCUGAAUGAUCUGCUGUUCAAACUUUCUGCUCACAAGUACCUCCUUAAAUUUACUGGUGGGACCAAAGUUGGGGAUAGAAACGUGCAUCAGAUUCAGGAAAAGGCUUGCAGACUCACUCCUUUUCUUGAUAUUUUAACUGGGAAAUGGAAUAAAGAUUAACUUUUAGAUGUUAUCGGAGUGGUUGAUGAAAUUGGGUACACACAGGCCCAGGUUGGAAGUAAAAAGCAACAUGUCAACUUUGUCAUUCGCGACUUGAGCAACAACACUAUAACGGUUACGUUAUGGGAGGCGUACGCGGUGUAGUUUAUCAACUACGUUGAACAGCAUAUCGAUACUGCCAUUCCGGUUGUGAUUCUGAUUCAAUAUGCAAAAGUCAAAGAAGCUUUUGGCAAAUAUCCACUAUCUGUUACCAACACUUACAAUGUCACCAAAGUGGCUAUUAAUGAAGACAUGGAGACAAUCAAACAAUUCGCCAAAAUGAUACUAUAAUGGCUGUCUCAGGCCUUCGCAGUCAGCAGUCUCAGGGCAGGUCGCAAAACUCAUACACUUCUCGCCAAUCACCUUCCCAAAAAUUGUUGUCUAAUGUUGUUCUUCUUCCUCUUGAGCAAAUUGUUAAACUCAAAGAGACAACUUUUUGUGCCACGGUUGCAACAAUUACGAAAAUCUUUGCGUCAAGAUAUGGCUGGUACUACUAGGCAUGCCAUGAAUGCCCAAAUAAAGUCAUUGGUGAUAAACCUCCCUACAAGUGUACAAAGGGACAUGAAACGAAAACCGCCAUAUUCAGGUAUAAACGCCAAUUACAUUACAUGCAUCCAAAAGUUACAUGCCAAAACAUUUAAAAUACAGACAAAUAAUAAAUAUCUAACUAACAAAUAAUAUGUCUAUCUUUUACCUUUGUUUGGAAAUGGAGGUUGGUCUUUCCUGAAUUUUUAUGCUCUUCUUUCGCUUAUGACAUUCUACCCCAUCCUUCUCUUCCCUGCAACAAGAAGAAGAAUACUAAACUAUAGUUUAUAAACAUUUUAACUAUUAUCACAUAACUUAUAUUAUUAUGUAUUACCUACUUAGUAUCACCUCUAUCUUACAUGCAUCCAAACAUUACCAGACAUAACAUUUCUAAUAACAGACAAGCCAACCCAUCAAUAUCUAAGUAACAUAUAUCAUGUCUACGUUUUACCUUUCUGAAUCUGAAGAUAAUACAAUAACACGACGUUGUGCUUCUCUUCUGGACAUUAUUCUCCUUUACCCGGCACCAAGAAUAACCUGUUCUUCUGCCUUCCCUUCAGUAUUUCCAGAACGAUUACCGCCCACACUGGAUUUGAAUGAUUGCCAUGCUGCCUUCCAUUCUAUUGAAGUUCGUCGUUUCUCAAUAGCCCCCAUUAUCACCCUAAAAUGAAUUUCGCGUUUCCAAAGGCAUCCCUUCCACUUUCUGCGGUUGGAUCUUUCCCAAACUUUCCGCCAUUCACCUACAACACUAAACAGCUCCAUCACUCGCCGAAUCUCAACCUCCCUCUUCAGUCUUUCCCAGUUGUUCUCCGUUGCAAGUUGCUCUUCCGUUCUAAUAUUGCAACGAUAAAAAAAUACUUAUAAACCACAACAAUGAACAUGCAACUCAUAAAAAACAUAUCUUUUACAUAUGUUAACAUUUCAACAACGUCUACAUAUCCAAUAAACGAUCAAAACAUGCAACUCACCGAUCGGGAAUGUUGAAGGGCGAAGAGUACGUCAUUGCACCGGGAAAGUCUUGCUUGAGCCGUCGAACAACUGCUCCUAACCAGCACGAAACCCUAACGUCGUUUUUGGAAGUAAUGUUUGUUCAGUUAGGAUCCCAACAUUAAUACCUACUUCUUUUACAUGUAUC